UACGUAGGAUCCAAGCGUUGUCCGGAUUUACUGGGUGUAAAGGGUGCGCAGGCGGACUUGUAAGUCAGGGGGUGAAAUCUCACAGCUUAACUGUGAAACUGCCUUUGAUACUGCAAGUCUUGGAUCCGGAAGAGAGUUGUGGAAUUCCGAGUGUAGCAGUGAAAUGUGUAGAUAUUCGGAAGAACACCAGUGGCGAAGGCAACAACUUGGUCUGGUAUCGACGCUCAGGCACGAAAGCAUGGGGAUCAAACAGG
rnacentral:rRNA from 1 species